UCCUCUCCUGCUUCUCUUCUCUUUUUUUUUUUUUCAAUCGAUUAGCCGAGAAACCAUCACAAAACCUCUCUUGUUUUCUUCAUCAUCUUCAAUAAUAUUUAAUCAUCGAUCUAUGUUUUGAAGUACUGAAGAACUUUAAAGAAUUUCUGCCAACUUAGAAGUGGUGGAAUUAGAAGGCUACACGAAGAAGAAGAAAAUGGAAGAGAUGGUCAAGAACAAGAAGCUGCUGAGGAAGUCUGUUGUUUGCUUUGAUGAUGGAAGGUGUAGCACCCAGCACCAAACUUUUUAGGUGACAAGCUGAAUAAGUGAUUUAGUCGGGAGGUUUCUUGUGUAGUUGCUGCAUACAUUUGAGGAAGUAGGAUUUCUUCCUCGCAGCAGUUUUAUUAGCAUUUCUUUACCUUAUUUCCUUGUAAUAAGGCUUUCACAGAGAGACACCGGUACUUGGUUGUGUAUAAUGAAGGUCAGUGCUUGGUUGCAGAGAAAGCUUCGAGGUAUCAUUGCCUCGACCUUUGGAGCUGAAGCCCCAGUUGUGAACCCAGAUGGUCUUGGAAAUGCACCAUUGCUCGUGUCCUAUAUUGGUCUAGCAAUAACUAUGUGAUGAUAUUAUAAUUGCCGAGUGUCAGCUGGACUUCCAAAACGUGAGAUGGUUUGGUGUUGAAGGGGACUAUAAUGUUCUCGUGAUGGAUUAAAUUGGACCUAAUCUUGAAAGUCUAUUAAACUUCUGCAGUAGGAAAAUCUCUUUAAAGUCUGUUCUGAUGCUUGCAGACCAGAUGGUCAAUCGUGUUGAAUUCGUACUCGCCAAAUCUUUUCUACAUCGAGAUAUGAAGCCAGAUAAUCUCCUCAUGGGGCUUGGAAGGCGUGCAAAUCAGGUGUACGUUGUUGGCUUUGGUUUGGCUAAGAUGUACAGAGAUAUUACAACACAUUCCAUAUAGGGUUGUGGAUGCAGGCAAGAUUAUGGAUGCAGCUGAAGUUGCCGAAAACAAGCUCUUUCUGCUUCAUCCAAAACUGCAACCAAACUGGAUAGCCAUAGUCGGAAGAAAGAAUGUGGGUUACAAUGCUAAUACGUCUCCACAAUGCAGGAAAGAAAGAUAAGAUCCUGUUAUCUUUGUAAGUUUGUAAAUAGUACUGCUUAUAGUGGUUUAUGU